CUCAAUGAAAAUUCAAUAGCCGCAAACAUUUGUGCUAAGGUAGCAUAAUCAUUUGUCUUUUAAUUAAAGACUAGAACAAAAGAUUUAACAUUUUUAUUUCUCUUUAAUAUUAAAAUCAUUAACUUAUUUUAAAUAUAAAAAAAUAUUUAUUUUUUAAAAAGACGAUAAGACCCUAUUGAACUUCACUAAAGUUAAACUGGGGAAGUUAAUUAAAUAUAAUUUUAAUUUAAAUUUCUAAAAAACCUAAUAAAAUUAAAACAUUAAGUUACCAUAGGGAUAACAGCGUAAUAAAUUUUACAAGAUCUUAUUAAAAAAUUCAUUUACGACCUCGAUGUUGAAUUAAUAAUCUAUUAAAUGCAAUAAUUUAAUAAGAAAGUCUGUUCGACUU
rnacentral:rRNA from 1 species